GAUGAACGCUGGCGGCGUGCCUAAUACAUGCAAGUCGAGCGAACAGACGAGGAGCUUGCUCCUCUGACGUUAGCGGCGGACGGGUGAGUAACACGUGGAUAACCUACCUAUAAGACUGGGAUAAAUUCGGGAAACCGGAGCUAAUACCGGAUAAUAUAUUGAACCGCAUGGUUCAGUAGUGAAUGACGGUUUUGCUGUCACUUAUAGAUGGAUCCGCGCCGCAUUAGCUAGUUGGUAAGGUAACGGCUUACCAAGGCAACGAUGCGUAGCCGACCUGAGAGGGUGAUCGGCCACACUGGAACUGAGACACGGUCCAGACUCCUACGGGAGGCAGCAGUAGGGAAUCUUCCGCAAUGGGCGAAAGCCUGACGGAGCAACGCCGCGUGAGUGAUGAAGGUCUUCUGAUCGUAAAACUCUGUUAUUAGGGAAGAACAAAUGUGUAAGUAACUAUGCACGUCUUGACGGUACCUAAUCAGAAAGCCACGGCUAACUCCGUG
rnacentral:rRNA from 1 species